GUCUACGGCCAUACCACCCUGAACGCGCCCGAUCUCGUCUGAUCUCGGAAGCUAAGCAGGGUCGGGCCUGGCUAGUAGUUGGAUGGGAAAAUAACCCAGUUCUAAUGACAAAAUUCAGGGAUGGACA
rnacentral:rRNA from 1 species